UACGUAGGGUGCAAGCGUUGUCCGGAAUUAUUGGGCGUAAAGAGCUCGUAGGCGGUUUGUCGCGUCUGCUGUGAAAACUCGGGGCUUAACUCCGGGCCUGCAGUGGGUACGGGCAGACUAGAGUGCGGUAGGGGAGACUGGAAUUCCUGGUGUAGCGGUGAAAUGCGCAGAUAUCAGGAGGAACACCGGUGGCGAAGGCGGAUCUCUGGGCCUGUUCUGACGCUGAGGCGCGAAAGCUAGGGGAGCGAACAGG
rnacentral:rRNA from 1 species